AUUGAACGCUGGCGGCGGGCCUAACACAUGCAAGUCGAGCGGAGCGGCGGACGGGUGAGUGAUGCCUAGGAAGCUGCCUGUUGGUGGGGGAUACCUUCCGGGGAGGGGCGCUAAUAACACAGACGAUCAAAGCAGCCUAGGGGGGAUUAGCUAGUUGGUGGGGUAAAGGCCUACCAAGGCGACGAUCCGAAACUGGUCUGAGAGGAUGAUCGGUCACACUGGAACUGAGACACGGCCCAGACUCCUACGGGAGGCAGCAGUGGGGAAUAUUGGACAAUGGGCGAAAGCCUGAUCCAGCCAUGCCGCGUGUGUGAAGAAGGUCUUCGGAUUGUAAAGCUCUUUAAGUUGGGAGGCGUUACCAACAGAGUAAGCACCGGCGAACUUCGUGCCAGCAGCCGCGGUAAUUC
rnacentral:rRNA from 1 species